GGAGAGAUACUCAAGUGGUCAACGAGGGCGGACUGUAAAUCCGCUGGCUACGCCUUCGAAGGUUCGAAUCCUUCUCUCUCCA
rnacentral:tRNA from 1 species